UUUUUUCCCUUCCCACGAAUAAAAAUCGAGAGUUCAAAGAUUAACGAUUCAUAUCAAUUAAUGGUUUGAUAUCCGAAAAUCACGAGCACAGAAAUGGCGACUUCACUGGGGACUUAAAUUCUACGCGGGUUAAACCCACCUUACUUUAUUUAUUUUGUGCUGUACUAUUUGCUUAUGCUUUGUAAAUAUUUUGCUUACAUACCUUGUUACAUGAGUGGUGAGAUAAGUCCUACACCCGGGCUUGAGUGAAACAUAAGAUAGGACGGAGUACGAUCAUAGUGCCAUACCAGGAGCGGUCCUGCGAUAUGUGUACACAUGAUGUAACUCCACUCAACGUAGGUCUUUCAAAAGUAAUAAUAUGUCGUCAUGAGCAGUCGUGAUUGGCGUUAUUAUUUUUGAAGUCCGCUAAACGUUGAGGACCUUUAGAUCACCCUUAACACAUCUUGGCCUUUUUUAGGACGUAGUGCGGUGGCUAAACCAAGAGCAGUCUUGACUUUGGUCGACACGCGAUACUACACUCAAACUAGACUUACUUAUGGAUGUUAUUGGACUAGGAGCGGUCCUAUACACCGAUAUGUUCAUAAGGGAAGUUGUAAUUUGGGAACUUGGUAGAACCCGUGAUACAGGUACAAUUUGAAACCAUAGUCCUUACCAAAUGAUGUUGUUACCCUUGACUCCAACAUUGUGGAACUUAAACAUCCUCAUGUAUUCAAUGUACUUUAUUAUAACCAUGCAUACAUGCAUUCAUUAAUAAAUAUAUUUUUCCAUCAAAAAUUGAAGGACUUAGACAAGUUUUUUGCAAACAUUAUGGAUAU
rnacentral:lncRNA from 1 species